CAAUUUGCUGGCCUUCAUUCUCUUUCCUCUUCUCCUCCGUCGCCGGAGAAAAGUCAAAUGUCGAGGGCGGCGGCGGCGAGAAAGGUCACCGGAAUCGCUCAGUUGCGCGCUCCACCGGCCUCGACCGGUGGUCUUCUCUACCGUUUCAGCUCCUAUGGAGGCGGCUCCAGCGGAAGCCGAUCGAGGUCACUGCCUCGGAGGGUCUUGUCGAUCGGGGCCAUCAGCCUGGCUGGGGGCCUCGUGCUCAGCGCCGUCAACGACCUCGCCAUCUUCCAUGGAUGCACAUCUAAGGCAAUUGAAGAAGGCUGCUGACAACCAAAAGGUUGUCGAGGCAAUUGGGGUACCUCUAGUCAGGGGACCGUGGUAUGAAGCAUCUCUUGAGGUCGGCCACCAACGCAAGUCUGUUUCAUGCACAUUCCCUGUAUCUGGGCCACACGGGUCAGGCUUUUUCCAAAUUGAGGCAACCCGAAAUGAAGAGGACGGUCUGCUUUCCUUUCUGCGGCAUCAUGACUGGGAGAUCCUUACCUUGGAGGCUCAUCUGCAUGUACCUUCAGAUGAUGAGCAGCAGAAGACGCUGGUGAAGGUGAAUCUUGAAAAUAAUGGUGGUGGGCAAUGUGAUGAUCCUGAGAGUGGGAAUUAGGUUGCCAUAUUCUCAUAUCAGCACCCUGAUAGUGCUUCUUUUCCAAGGUCUGGUCAAUCUAUCUGGUUGGUAUCUACUGAAUUUGAUAGAGGGCUGACAAUAUGUUUUCUGAAGAUGGAUUCAUCCAAGAUAGUAUGUAUAUUAACUGAAAUGACCCAAAGAGAAGAGAAGCAGUUGUUUUUGUUCCAAAAUUA